GAGUUUGAUCCUGGCUCANGACGAACGCUGGCGGCGUGCUUAACACAUGCAAGUUGAACGAAGUACCUCGAGUUUACUCUUGGUAACUUAGUAGCGGACGGGUGAGUAACGCGUGAGUAACCUACCUUUGUGAGGGGGACAACAGCUGGAAACGGCUGCUAAUACCGCAUAAGGCCACGGUGUCGAAUGACACAGUGGUAAAAGAAUCUAAUCGCACAAAGACGGACUCGCGUCCCAUUAGCUAGUUGGUAAGGUAACGGCUUACCAAGGCGACGAUGGGUAGCCGACCUGAGAGGGUGAUCGGCCACACUGGAACUGAGACACGGUCCAGACUCCUACGGGAGGCAGCAGUGGGGAAUAUUGGGCAAUGGGCGAAAGCCUGACCCAGCAACGCCGCGUGAGGGAAGAAUGUCUUCGGAUUGUAAACCUCUGUCCUUGGGGACGAAAAACAUGACGGUACCCAAGGAGGAAGCUCCGGCUAACUACGUGCCAGCAGCCGCGGUAAUACGUAGGGAGCAAGCGUUGUCCGGAAUUAUUGGGCGUAAAGGGUGCGUAGGCGGUUUACCAAGUCAGAUGUGAAAUCCCCGGGCUUAACCCGGGACGGGCAUUUGAAACUGGUAGACUUGAGUAAAGAAGAGGUAAGUGGAAUUCCUAGUGUAGCGGUGGAAUGCGUAGAUAUUAGGAGGAACACCAGUGGCGAAGGCGACUUACUGGUCUUUUACUGACGCUGAGGCACGAAAGCGUGGGGAGCAAACAGGAUUAGAUA
rnacentral:rRNA from 1 species